AGUGAACGCUAGUGGCGUGCUUAACACAUGCAAGUCGAACGGACGAUAUUUGUGCUUGCACAAAUAAAGUUAGUGGCAAACGGGUGAGUAAUACAUGAGAAUUUUCCUUGCAGUACGGAAUAACUAUUGGAAACAGUAGCUAAUACCGUAUAUUGCCGAGAGGUGAAAGAUUUAUCGCUGCAAGAUAAGCCCAUGCAAGAUUAGCUUGUUGGUAAGGUAAUGGCUUACCAAGGCUACGAUCUUUAGCUGGUUUGAGAGGAUGAUCAGCCACACUGGAACUGAGACACGGCCCAGACUCCUACGGGAGGCAGCAGUGGGGAAUAUUGGACAAUGGGCGAAACCCUGAUCCAGCCAUGCCGCGUGAGUGACGAAGGCCUUAGGGUUGUAAAGCUCUUUUGGCGGGGACGAUAAUGACGGUACCCGCAGAAUAAGCCCCGGCUAACUUCGUGCCAGCAGCCGCCGUAACAC
rnacentral:rRNA from 1 species